UAGACUUUAAAGGGGAACUGAAGUGAAAAAUGAAAAUCAUUUAAUUAGUAGUUUUCAUCGUGCUGAUUUCGAAUAUCGACACGAAAUUAGUGUUUUACUUUUCGUUUUCCUGCAUUUAACGCGGAAAGUGUGAAAUUUCUCCAUUUCCGUGGCGGAGAGGUCUGGAGACAAGUUUCAGGCGCUGACGUAAAGUCGUGGACACGUGCCCCGAUCGCAACGAAAACAACAUUGUAGUAGGUAGUAGAGUGAAUCGGAGGGAGGGAAUUCGGUUAGUGGUUAGAAUUUCAGUUCGCAAUUUUCACGACAGCUCUUCAGGAAUGACAACAGACUUAAGAUCGAGCGACGAUGAAGUGUUUGGAGCAUGUGGUGGUGAAGUACUUGCCCUACCAAGGGCGAACGGGACCUGCGAAAGUGGCGAUGAAGAUUAGCCUAGGCCCGAUGAGAUCCCAGAGGAUGAGGAUGAAUUAUCUCCCGCGACGUGCUCGUUUUGUUGGUAGAAAUGAGGAAGUAAAUAAAUGGUAUCUACAAACAGUGGCCGAUCAAUGUAUGGUUUGCUGGUUUUUGGGUAUUUGUGCUGGAAUAACUGGACAACUUUAAGUAUGCAUUUAUCACAAAUGUAAAGAAAAGAACUUUAGUCAAAGAAGACAAGAGUUUCAAAAUUCUGCAGAGAGACAAUGAAAAUGCAAAAAUCAGCUACCUACUACAUAUACAGUGGAGAACAGGGUUAUAUACAGGGGUUAUUCAAAAGGACCAGACUUUUUGUUCAAAAUAGCAAGAAGAGAAAUUUGUUGAAACUAGUGGGACAAUGGCCAAAUCUUGUCAGCCCUAGGCCAAAUCACUAGAUUAGUCACAUCAAGGGGGGGAGGGGUUGGGGAUUGAGCAAGGCUUGAUAUUUUCAAGAUUCCUAAGGUAUAUUUUUCAAGAUAUUUUACUCACAUCAAAAUGUGUAGAAUAGUUUGGAUUUGAUAAAGUUUUUCUCUUACAAUAAUGGUCCUGUACCACCUGCUUGGUAACAUUUUUUAUACAUAAUCAGAAGAAAAUGUUUUACCUUCA